GAUGAACGCUGGCGGCGUGCCUAAUACAUGCAAGUCGAGCGAAUGGAUUAAGAGCUUGCUCUUAUGAAGUUAGCGGCGGACGGGUGAGUAACACGUGGGUAACCUGCCCAUAAGACUGGGAUAACUCCGGGAAACCGGGGCUAAUACCGGAUAAUAUUUUGAACUGCAUGGUUCAAAAUUGAAAGGCGGCUUCGGCUGUCACUUAUGGAUGGACCCGCGUCGCAUUAGCUAGUUGGUGAGGUAACGGCUCACCAAGGCAACGAUGCGUAGCCGACCUGAGAGGGUGAUCGGCCACACUGGAACGGAGACACGGCCCAGACUCCUACGGGAGGCAGCAGUAGGGAAUCUUCCGCAAUGGACGAAAGUCUGACGGAGCAACGCCGCGUGAGUGAUGAAGGCUUUCGGGUCGUAAAACUCUGUUGUUAGGGAAGAACAAGUGCUGGUUGAAUAAGCUGGCACCUUGACGGUACCUAACCAGAAAGCCACGGCUAACUACGUGCCAGCAGCCGCAGUAA
rnacentral:rRNA from 1 species